GUGUCAGCAGCCGCGGUAAUACGGAGGGUGCGAGCGUUGUCCGGAAUCAUUGGGUGUAAAGGGUGCGUAGGCGGGCUGCUAAGUCUGGGGUGAAAUCCUGCCGCUUAACGGUAGAAUGGCCCCCGAUACUGGCAGUCUUGAGUACAGAAGAGGUCGGUGGAAUUCGUAGUGUAGCGGUGAAAUGCAUAGAUAUUACGAAGAACACCAGUGGCGAAGGCGGCCGGCUGGUCUGUAACUGACGCUGAGGCACGAAAGCGUGAGGAGCGAAUAGGAUUAGAUACCCUGGUAGUCCACGCUGUAAACGAUGUAUGCUAGGUGUCGGCCCUUCGGGGUCGGUGCUGCAGUUAACGCAGUAAGCAUACCACCUGGGGAGUACGUCGGCAAGGUUGAAACUUAAAGGAAUUGACGGGG
rnacentral:rRNA from 1 species